UUCGUCACUGUUUAGGAGAAGUCAUUGUCAAGUGCCCAUACUAAUAAUUUCCUCCGGUUUGACUACUUUUCAGCCAGCCAGUUCACAUUGAAAACCUCGAGAAGGGUCGAUUUUUUUCCUGCUGAUUUUUGAAAGACAGUCAAGAAACUCAAAUAGUCUGGUGGCUCUCUCACUCUCCGAUAGUUUUGAUCCAUCAACGGUAAAGUCAUUGUAGAUCGAUGCAAUAGUUGAUUGUGGUGGGUUCAGAACAAUGCACGGGCCACAGUCUUGAAGAUGAAGAGGAAAGCCCCAUCAACAUCUGGGAUCUCUCCUUUCCAACUGUCACUUCUCCGGAUCCAAGCCCUGCCACUCCUUCAACAUCUAUUCAGCCUCGCCCUACAUUCUUCCUUCUUCCCAGCAGAGUGGAUGGAGUCAGCUAUCAUCUUCAUCCAUAAGAAAAGGCCAAGUGACAUUUCAGACAAUCAUCGGACCAACGAUCUGGAAAACCCCUUCUUGAAGAUGAUGUCCACCCUACUAGCUGCUCGCUUCUCCGGAUUGACCGAGGAUAGGGAUCUCCUUCCCCAGUUCCAAUUCGGUUUCCGGAGAAGCCGCUCUACCACCUCUGCAGCUACUCUCCUCAAUGAAAUUAGGCAUUCUAUCAUCAGCAACAUAAAGGAGACUGUACGGAUGCUACGUGGAUUUCUCCAAAGCAUUUGAUAGGGUAGACCGAACGCAUUAUUCUUCACACGUUAACUAUGUGGAGUUCCGCGUUCAAUCUGUGUCCUGCUGUCCAACAUUUUCGCGGGACUCAGAUGCUCCAUUCGAUCUGGUGAGGACCUAUCCCCCCUGUUAUUUCACUUCCGUUUGCCUUCCACAGGGGGAUCCACUAUCGCCAAUUCUUUUUAAUCUUCAUGUAUCCGACCGGCCGAAGCUCUUACACACCAAGGCCCCUACAUCAACCGUUUUCCAGUUCAAUAUCUACAAUAUGCAGACGGCCUGGUUCUCUUGGCUGAUUCAGCCAUGGAAUAGCGAAAUGCCAUCAAUGCACUCCAUGGUUAUUGGCAAGAGAACGGCCUUCAAGUCAAUAAGAUCAAGACGAAGGCCAUGGUCUUCCAUAAAGGUCGUCUGCCUCCCACCUCCUUCCAUAUUAACAAAAGUCCGAUUGAAAUCGUCAAUAGUUUUAACUGUGUCAGUUUCACCUUCUCCACCCAACUCUCAUUCACCAAUCACCUCAAAUCCACAAUAACUAUGGCCAGGACCAGGAUCGGAUACAUAUGCAAUAGACUUCCCAUGAAGAAUCUUCCCCUCCCAAUAGUCCUUCAACUCUUCCGGAUCUACGUCACCCCAAUUUUUGUCUACGGCCUACAUCUUUGGCUUCCCAACUCCACCCAAUCCGCCCUCAAAUCCGCCGAUGCCAACUACUCCAAGUUCCUCUGCGUGCCCCAAUAUGCCAAUAAUGCAUGGACGCAUUUUCUAUGCAAAACCGAGCCCCUCACCAUCGGGCUGGCAAGGCUAGUGUCCAACAGUGUUGGGAACCUGACCUUUCCGGAGGUGAUGUCUGGACACAAGUUGUCCUUCCCGGUCCCUUGACCGGGACUUGCUAACAACCUAUUGUCCUUGGCCCGACAUCCCUUCGGAGUAUUGGCGGUCACGUACCUUUGUCCGUCUCCCAGCCAGAUGACAUCAGCGACGGGAGUUGACAAAGGAUGUGUUCAAUCUGGCCCAUCCACUCGGCUAUAAUAACCAAGAUUUUCAUUAUUUACCUCUACCUACUUGUCUUUGUACUAUCUGUUACUCACCUCUUCCCUUUUUCCAAGUGCACUGAACCAAUUCUAGUCAUCUCUGUUGUGAUAUCAUUAGCCGAAUGUUUUAUCGUUUUAACCAUUUUAGUUUCUUCUUUUAUGUCGUUAUCCAUAUUUGUGUAAGUUGUUUACAUACACAAUUCUAUUAUUUUACAAUUUGACAUGACCGAGAGUCGCAAUAAAAAAUAAAAGACAAAUGUUACGCUUUAGGA